rnacentral:rRNA from 1 species
AUUGAACGCUGGCGGCAUGCCUUACACAUGCAAGUCGAACGGCAGCACGGGGGCUUGCACCUGGUGGCGAGUGGCGAACGGGUGAGUAAUACAUCGGAACACGUCCUGUAGUGGGGGGUAGCCCGGCGAAAGCCGGAUUAAUACCGCAUACGAUCUACGGAUGAAAGCGGGGGACCUGCGGGCCUCGCGUUGUUGGGUUGGCCGAUAGCUGAUUAGCUAGUUGGUGGGGGAAAGGCCUACCAAGGCGACGAGCAGUAGAUGGGCGGAGAGGACGAGCAGCCACCCUGGGACUGGGACACGGCCCAGGCGCCUACGGGAGGCAGCAGUGGGGAAUGUUGGACAAUGGGCGAAAGCCUGAUCCAGCAAUGCCGCGUGUGUGAAGAAGGCCUUCGGGUUGUAAAGCACUUUUGUCCGGAAAGAAAUCCUUGGCUCUGAUACAGUCGGGGGAUGACGGUACCGGAAGAAUAAGCACCGGCUAACUACGUG